ACACGUGGGAACCUGCCUUUUUCUGCGGGAUAACGAUUGGAAACGAUCGCUAAUACCGCAUACGCCCUUCGGGGGAAAGGUCCGCCGGAGAAAGAGGGGCCCGCGCCUGAUUAGCUAGUUGGUGGGGUAAUGGCUUACCAAGGCGACGAUCAGUAGCUGGUCUGAGAGGAUGAUCAGCCACACUGGGACUGAGACACGGCCCAGACUCCUACGGGAGGCAGCAGUGGGGAAUAUUGGACAAUGGGGGCAACCCUGAUCCAGCAAUGCCGCGUGUGUGAUGAAGGCCCUAGGGUUGUAAAGCACUUUCACUGGUGAAGAUGAUGACGGUAACCAGAGAAGAAGCCCCGGCUAACUUCGUGCCAGCAGCCGCGGUAAUACGAAGGGGGCGAGCGUUGUUCGGAAUUACUGGGCGUAAAGGGCGCGUAGGCGGUCAUUUAAGUUAGGCGUGAAAGCCCCGGGCUCAACCCGGGAACUGCGCUUAAAACUGAGGGACUA
rnacentral:rRNA from 1 species